rnacentral:misc_RNA from 1 species
CUGUCAAACUGUCAUUCCGCAAUUCGCAUUCGCAUUUCGCAGGCUUCGAUUGUUUGCUUUACUGUUUAGUGUUUCCCAAUAUUUUAAUUUGAACUAUUGACCGCAUUUAUUGACCUGCGUUUAAAUUAAACUAAUUUUGCGUUACCUCAUCGGUGUUAUUUUAUAACAAGUGUUUUUAUGUGGACGCAUUAUUUUUUAGUAGUUUUAUUUUGUAGUGAAAAAAUAAAAUCACAAACCUCGCAAAAUUGUGUAAAUAGUUCAAUAUCUUCAUGUUACUGAAACAUAAUAAAAAUAAUAAGAACAAUCCUACUCCAGUGAGAUAAAAAUAAAAAAAAAAUAGCGCGCCAAUGCACGACGUCUUCGAGAAAAUAUCGAUGUGUGAAGUGGACCGGGAUUUUGUUCGGUGGGGCUAUGUUGUUCGUCAGUGCCUUAGCGAUAGGGAUGAUUACGGGCUUGCAGAAUGUCACCACGGAGACGCCGACGACGGGGAGUGACGUAGAGACCACGUCCACCACCAUGGGCCUGUUGGAGGCGACCAGGCCCGCUGUCGUCAACGACUUCGUGAACGUGACGAUCCAGGAGCGGCCUUCGAUGUGGGACCUUUAUUUGAACCACUGCCCCAAGUGGCGUCCUAUCAACCAUAUAUUUUUCCAAGCAGCCAAUGUGUUCUACCUGUUGUCUUUCCUGGCUCCCCACACCCCGAGUGGGCUGGUGUGGCUCCGCGUGGCUCUGAUCCUGGGCUGCGCUUGCUCUGGUCUGUGGGCGUGGAGCAUAGAGUGCUACUUGGACGCCGUUGUGUGGAACAGUGUGUUUGUUGUCAUAAACUUUGUGUACUUCUCCGUGCAGUUUUACUUGUUGCGGCCCAUCAGGUUCCAUAAGGACAUUGAAGAGGUGUACAUAGCGCUGUUUAAGCCGCUGCGUGUGUCGCGGCGCCAGUUCCGGCGCGUGCUCAUGUGCAUGAGGAACGUGCGACACCUCAAGUGUCACGAGCUAUACGCGCACGAGAAGGUCACCAAGGUGGACAGCCUCUCCCUGGUGUUGUCCGGGAAGCUGGUGGUGUCCCAGAACCAGCGCGCACUCCACAUUGUGUUCCCACACCACUUCUUAGACUCGCCGGAGUGGUUUGGCGUAUCGACGGAUGAAUUUUUUCAGGUGUCAAUAAUGGCGAUGGAGGAGUCACGAGUGCUGGUGUGGCACCGCGACAAACUAAAGCUUUCGAUCAUGUCGGACGGCUUCCUGCAGGCGGUGUUCGAUCACAUACUGGGUCGGGACGUUGUUCAUAAACUGAUGCAGGUGAGCGAAACGAUGUCGGUGAGCAACGGCCACCUCCCCAACAGUUACGAGGAGGGCGAGGACAAGCCGAUGCUGGUGGUGAAGAAAGCCGGCGACGGACCCGGCAUCACUGCACUGCUCAACCGACAGUUGCAAGGCGAGAGCGCGCCGCUGCUGCGACCGACGCCGUCCCACGCGUGCUGAGCGACGGAUACCCCUACCCCCUUCAUUGUUACCCCCCCUUUUAUACCCUCUUUCAAUCCUCUCAAAUCAUUCCCUUCAUUUAUCGUAUGACUUUAUAUAUCACAUUAUUUUGCCAUUUAUUUAUAUUUAUCGUAUAUUCACGCUUAUCACGUUUGAGUUAAUACUUUACUAAAGCUGUAUAUUCAUGGUUCUCAUCGUCUAGUGUAUUACGCGUUGUAGUAGUGCAAUAAAGAGUGAUAAGUAGACCUAAGAUGCAUUGAGACAUAUUUGUUCCGAAAGAAUAACAUAUUGUCGUCCAAUGAGCUUGUUUCCUCUAAAGGUUUUAAAAAAUCCACUAGGGGUAGUACCAUUAAAAAUCAAAAUAUAAAUGUGUUGAUUUUUCUAUCGAAAUCACUACCCAUUUCAAUGUUUUUUUUUUAUUAUUUGACGGUCAUAUGUCAAUUUGUACCUACCCCUGGUGCUGCCUGUAGCGGAUUUUUUAAAACCUUUAGAGGAAAAAAACACGCACUGUGCGCACAUACUAACAUUUUGCGCAGUUUAUACAGCACUGUAAUCAGUAAAAAAAGCUUUAAUAAGGUUUUAAUUAAUAGAUGAUUAGAAAAGUGCACCCCUAUUUAAGUAUAAGGGAGGUAAUAAACAUAUUGUGCACAGUUAAAAUCUUAAUUUUGUAUGUGUGAUUAAUACUCGAAUCUAUACGAAGCUAAAUUACUUUUUUUGAGUACUACGUUUAGUAUGUUUGUUACGUAAUGGUGUAACUAUAGGGUGGCAGGACUGGUAAAAUACCACUGGCCUGAGUGGGUGAGUGAGUGAAUCCCUGAGAGUAAGUGAAUGGGUCCCUAAUACUAUCAAAGUAUUGUUAAUAUUGCUGGCUUUAAAAUAAAGUCGAAAAUCAAUUAACAUACUGACGGACGGACUUAGAAAAAAAAAUGUAAUAUUUUAUUAAAAAAGUCGUUUCUAAAAAAGAUAAGAUUGAAUUAAAAAAAAAUUUGAACACCUUUAAUCCGUCCCUUUUUAUUAACAAUUCGAUCACGAAUUAAAACUGUAAAUAUUUUAAUUAAUAAAUUAAGUUUUCAAAAUCUCGAAAUGUAUCUGAUAGGUUCGCUUUUAUAGGUAUUUUAGGUAGCACUGGUGAGGUCUUUGCUCAAUUUUGCCUCGUGAUAACCCUAUUCGCUUCAUGUCCUUUCCGUCUUCGUUUUUUUUUGUGUUAAAUAUUCACCUGUAGGUAUACUAAUCAUUAAAACACAAAAAAGCUUUGUAGUGAAAACAAAAUAAAACGGAUCAGUAUAUACAAGAAGAAUAAUUUUGUUGGUGUUUGGCCGACCAACUUCGAACAUAUCGAUGGUUUCUUUUUGCGCAUUGACACAAAUCAAGUAAUGACUAAGAAAUCUCGUUGCACCCGAAAUUGGUUGGAUAUUCCCCGACGAAAAUUGUAUGUCCGUUUUAUUUUGUUUUCAUGAUUACGCGUAUAUAAUAUACAUAAAUAACUAAUUAAUUAUAUUCACAAAAAACGUGUCAUAUUUUUAUAGUAUUGAUAUUAGCAAGUAUUGAAAGUAAGUACAUUUGCAUAUAAAUCAGUAUUUUUGGAAUUAAUAAAUCGUUAGAUAUUUAAGUGAUUAAAAUUUAAUGGUAUUUUUUCACAUUUAAUAAUAAGUAAAACUUAUAAUGCACAAAUGUUAGUCUUACGUUUUAAAAAUGUCUCGUCGAGGGUUAUUUUUAGUAUAUUUUUGUGUUGUUUUUUUUAGUAUCAUCGAGGUAGUUAUCAAGUUACUAAAUGAUUGCUCGAAUUAUUUAAAUAUCAUUAUUUUAUUAUUUAAAUAUUUUAAAUGAUCAAAUUACCAAUUACUUAAUUUAAUUACUGAUCGAGAUGAUUUAAUUAAUUAACUGAACCAAUUGAUUUAAUAGGGUUUGUGACUCACUCCCUUAACAGUUACGCUAAUUAACUGUAGUUUUGUGAACGAUUAAUUAAUUGAAUUUAAUAGUCGAUUCCAAAUGCAACAGUUAUUUUUUUUUUUUACUUUUUUUCAUUAUUUUGUUUUACUUACGAGUUUGAAUUAGAAGUUUUCUUUUGCUAGUACAAAAGACAAUUUCUGAGUCAAUAUAUUGCAUGCUAAAUAGUCGGUCUUAACUAGUUUACUAUAUUAGGGUUAUAAAUAUAUUAUUAUGUAUUGUAUGAUAUUUAUGUCAUGAAAUUGGUCGAGAUAAUCAUGCUUGGCUUAGUCUUUGUCUUAAUGACCAUUAAAGGGUGAACCGAAGACAAACAUAAUGCAUUUUUUAAACGAAAGAAGUAUAGUAUGCUCAAAACUUCGAGUCCGUUGUGAAUACUGAUACCAGUGGGGUUGUAAUGGCUGUGCAGUUGCCCGGGUUGCAACUUCAGAGCGGACUACAAGUUUGGGGCAUAAUAUAAAUAAUAUAAAUUGGCAUUUAAUUUGGUUCGUGUUUGGUUUGCCAGUCGUUUUAUAUGUGCUAACUGUUGCAAGUAACUCGCACAAGUCACAAGCAUCGAAUGACAACGAAAAUGUCUUUCAUCUUACACGUACUACCAUAAGAAGUUCAACUUGCUUUUUGUAUCAAUUUUUAACACUUGUAUUUGGGUAAUAAUUAAUUCCUCGACAAAAUAAUCAAUUAUAGCAAUUGUGUGCGACCGAGAGAGGAAUAUAAAUUAUAAUAGUUAAUUAUGGAAAAGCUGGGAAUGACCUCGUUUUAUCUUAAACGAUUAUGACAAUAAAACAAAAAGUGGCAAGUUAUAUUUUGAUUUUUUUCUUUUUUUUUUUUUAAAUAUUUUAUUUGUUCUUUUAAUUGUGACUUAAUUACGAAAAUGUUCAUUUUUAUCUAUAUGUUAUCUUAUCCAAUUAUAUUAAUAAAUGUUGUAAAUGACAAAGCGACUGAACAAGUUUGGUAUAUCUUGGCCUUACACCACAAUGCUUUAAAAAUCUUGUUACCUUCACUCCAAGUAUAUUUAUUAAGGUUUAGGUAAGGUUUAUAUAAAGCUUUAUAACUGGAAUAAUAAUAUUAAUUAAAUAAUUAAUAAAUAACGGAAUCCUGUAAAAUCCUUAUCCCUAAGAAUCCAAUCCCAAAGCAUGUUUGGACGACCGACAAAAUUCAGCUACAGACCCGAACGCGUGGCGUUUGGGACGCAUCGACGAAACCGACCACGAAACACCAGUUUGAGGGCAAGCUCUGCAUCUAGCGGUGCGGCCGAGGCGACGCGACCGCUAGUGCAUUAUACACCUUAUGCCGCGGACAUAAGGGCCAUUCGAACUGAAGAUUUACCUGUGCCGAGGUAAAUUAGACUGUAUUCAUUGAUGGUGUAAAGUUCGAAUUCGAUUGAAUUUGGUUUGAAGAUUUAUUGGUAUACUUUGUGAGAAUAAAUGAUCGCCAAUGCAUUAUAAACCUUGUGUCAUAGACGUAAGGGCCAUUUGAACUGAAGAUUUAUCUGUGCCCAGGUAAAUUAGACUGUAUUCAUAGAUGGUGUAAAGUUUCGAAUUCGAUUGAGUUUUGUUUGAAGAAUUAUUAGUAUACUUUGUGAGGACUAGCGAUCGCGAGUGUAUUAUCAACCUUAUGCUGUGGACAUAAGGGCCGUUCGAACUGAAGAUUUAUCUGUGCCGAGGUAAAUUAGACUGUAUUCAUGGAUGGUGUAAAGUUCGAAUUCGAUUGUGGCUGGUGAUUAAUUGAUAUAUUUUGUGAUUGAAGGCUUGUAUCCAUUGGCUAAGUUGAGUUGCAGGUAGUGGCAUUAUCUGUGCCUAUGUAUAGUGUAAAUUAAAGCAGUGGCGUACACAGGGUUCCCAAAAGGGUAAGCGUUAAGGAAGUACAGCAUAUGCAUUAGAAACACCAGCCGAGUCCAAAAGUUAUGCACAGAUUUGAAUUUUUUUUUAUAAUUACAAUUUUUUUUUAUUUUGACUGUUUUUGAUUGCCAUGCAAGUGUAAAAUAUUGCAUAUAAGCCCGAAUCUUUUGACUGUGUUGAUUUGUUAGCUAGAUUAUUCAGAGCUCCUAGACUAUAUGCAGUGUUUUAUUCAUAUAUGAAGUGUACGCCGCUGACUCUUUAAACUUUAACAAUAAUACGUUUUAUUGUUUAUUAUAUAUGCUGGUGAAUAAUUCUAAUGUAUUUAAUCUAAAUAAAAUAUGAUCUCGAAUUUAUUGUUUUGUGGAUUAUACUAGUCUUUUUUUGUCGUAAUUAGAUUUUUUUGAUCUACGAAUCGUAUCGCAUUUUCGUACAUAUAUUUACGAGUUAAAACGUUAAAACACGGUUUUCUUUUCUCUCGCAGGCAUUUAACAAUUUCAUUUACAUUGUCUAUUUCGUUCUGCUGGACUUGUUCGAAAUUUAAAUUCGUAACAAGACUUAGCUAAUGGAUUUGAUACGAAAACAUGUCAUAGACAAGACAUGUUUUUGGUUACAAACGGACUAUGAAGAUACAUUUACAAAAAAAUCUAUGUAUAAUCCAAGGAGGAUAGUGUUGUUUCGUGAAAUUGAUUGUGGACUUCGUUAAUAAAUUUUAUAUGUACAGAGUGCAAAAAAAUCUCAAUUUAAAUAUUUUUUGAUUAUGAUUUUACAUGACGUCGUGUAUUUAAUGCAAAGUUGGUUGGUUGGAGUCCAAAAUUGGUUUCAACGUACUAUAUCAUGUAAUGUGGACUGUUUUUUUGUUGCCAGUAAAAUUUUGGAAACCAUAAAAGUUACAUUAAUACAAAAAAUACACAGAAUGUAAUAAAUCAUUCCAUAUGAUCAACCAAUUAAAUGUAUUGUAUGGUAUUGCAUGUAUAAGUAAAAAUAAUAAAUUAAUAAUAGCACAUUUUACUGGCAACACCUUAUCAGUCCUCAGUAACAAAUAAACAUGAGAAUUAUUUUGUAAUUUGUACUUCUAACGAGUUGACUUUUGGGAAAAGUUAUUUCAUACAAGUUUAACAGUGUUAUGACGCCUUAAAUACGCGUUAUACUGGUGCAGGCAGACGUUCGUGGAACGCAUGACAAACGCCUACGCCCCUAAAGCGCUAGUAUGAAGAUACUCUUAUUGUUAACUAUGCAUAUUGAUCUGUAAAUGCACACAGUGGUCACAAUAAAGCAAAUAUGAGAAGCAUUAUUUUGUGUAAGUAUAGUCUAUACAUAGAUAGACAAAGAAAAUCUAAUUGUCGAUAAAAAAUUUCUGUCACAUUCCUAUCGAAUUUUUGUAUCGAUGCAGUUUUCUAAAGCCUGUAAUUAUUUUUAAUCUAAUAGCGUAAAUGAAAAAAAUUUUUUUGCUGACUGUUCCGGUACUAAAAGUCGAAGUGUAAAAUAAUAACAAAAUCAUCUAAUGUGGCAGCUUCACUGUUCGUAUCUUGCUCAUAUCUAUUUAAACAGAGCGAGAUGCUAAUAGCAUCGUCACCAUUUGGUGGUAUUUACAUAGAUAGACAAAGAAAAUCCAAUUGUCGAUAAUAAUUUUCUGUCACAUUCCUGUCGAUUUUUGUAUCGAUGCAGUUUUCUAUAGCGUAAAUAUUUUUUUUUUGCUGACUGUACCGGUACAAAAAAUCGAAGUAUAAAAUAAUAACAAAAUAAUCUUGCUCACAUCUAAGCGAGAUUCAAAUAGAAAUGUCGCCAAUUGGUGUUCUAUGGGUUCAUGUAGUCGAAGAGCUAAAUGGGUAUUAAUAAGAAAUUUUGAAAUAGUAAGCGAAGCAGUAACCAAGUUCCACUUGGUUACUACUCUUUGAUUAUGAUCAAAGCCAUUUGUGGUAUCCUUAUGAGAUUUGAGUGUAAAUAAGAAUUUUAGAUGUUACAAAGGGAACUGAAUGUAUUUACAAAGUAAAUCGGUUUAAUUAUUGUAUGAUAUAAAGAUGUUCAUUAUUACUUACCUAGUCGAUAUAUUACAGCGUGGUUUAUUGCGGGCCGCAGUUGCAAUCGUAUUGGUAUUAUCACGCCUUUAUUAUAGCCCUCACUAGUGUUUGGGAAAGUUGAAGGUAAAGUUUAACACUAAUCAUUCAUGGAAUUUCAUUUUUGGCUGUGAUUGUAACUGCGCUUCGCAAUAACCACAGGUAAUGGAUUCUCAAAAUUCU